rnacentral:rRNA from 1 species
UACGAAGGGGGCGAGCGUUGUUCGGAUUUACUGGGCGUAAAGGGCGCGCAGGCGGCUCAUUUUGUCAGGCGUGAAAGCCCCGGGCUUAACCUGGGAACGGCGCUUGGGACGGGUGGGCUAGAGAUCGGGAGAGGAGAGUGGAAUUCCCAGUGUAGAGGUGAAAUUCGUAGAUAUUGGGAAGAACACCGGUGGCGAAGGCGGCUCACUGGCUCGUUUCUGACGCUCAGGCGCGACAGCGUGGGGAUCAAACAGG